AAAUCUUUUAGCCUAGGGUUUCUCCGACUCUCUUUCUAUCUCCGGCGUGCACCGGUAAAUCGAAUUGGUUCCCGGGAAUACUCCGGUUAGUUCUUGGAAUCGUAAGUAGCUUGAUAUAUUAAAAGAGAGAAGAUGCAAAGCGGAGAUGAAGUUAGCAUUGAAGAAUUGGCCUCGAAUCUUUCUACUUACAAAGAACAACUUCAGCAGGUGCGACAACUGUUACAUGAUGAACCAGACAACUCUGAAUAUAUUGACAUGGAGAAAGAGCUUGCUGAGGUGAUUGCCUUAACAGAAGAGCUCCUUGUAACUGCAAAACAAAGUGAAGAUGGGAUGGGUACUGGGACCAGUGCUGAUGCAUCUCACAGUUUCCACCAUUCCGAGAAUUCUGAUGUGGAAUUAGGAUCAAUAUUGGACCAUGCUGAUAAGUUUCCUGUGGGCACUAAAGUACAAGCUGUUUAUAGUGAAGAUGGAGAGUGGUAUGAUGCUACUAUUCACGCGCACACUCCAAAUGGCUAUUAUGUCUGUUAUGAUGAAUGGGGUAACAAGGAAGAGGUGGAUCAUGCUAACAUAAGACCACUUGAAGAGGCAUCUGUCAACCCCUUAGUUGAAGCAGAAAAAAUAGCUGAGGCCACUAAACAAGCUCUCAAACGAAAGAUAGCUCAAGCUGCAUCUAGUGAUAUCCAAUCUCGAAGUUUGCCAGCAAAGCUUCUCAUUGAUCCUAAUGAUCCAGAAGAUGUGAAAGCUGCCAAAAAGAAAAAGAUUCAUGCUUUCAAGUCUAAAGUCCGGAUAGAGCAACUUGAGGUUGCUCAAAACAAGAGGCAAAACGCUUGGCAACAGUUUCAGUCAACUAAAGGCCAGACUAAGAAGGUGGGCUUUUUCUCUGGUCGAAAGCGUGAGAGCAUCUUCAAGUCUCCGGAAGAUCCUCAUGGUAAGGUUGGUGUAACUGGGAGUGGCAAAGGAUUGACAGAUUUUCAAAAGAGGGAAAAACAUUUGCAUCUAAAAGGCGCAAAUUCUGAGGCUUCGGAUGAGUAGAUGUUGGUCUCCAUACACCAUUAGUCCGUUCAUCUUCUGGCUGCCUUAUGUUUAGUAUGUUCCCUACCUAUAUGUAAUCUGAUGUUUCUCCCUAGUGCAGAGUUCUUGUUGACUCCGCCAGGGUUUACUUUUCACUUUCUUUUUAUUUUUUCGUGUAUUAACCAAGUGAUUCUAGUUCCUGGUUUUAUCCAUCUACUAUAAUUAAGUCGUCACAUUUACUGACAAUAUCUUGAAUAA
rnacentral:misc_RNA from 1 species